GACGAACGCUGGCGGCGUGCUUAACACAUGCAAGUCGAACGAAGAGCGAUGGAAAGCUUGCUUCUAUCAAUCUUAGUGGCGAACGGGUGAGUAACGCGUAAUCAACCUGCCCUUCAGAGGGGGACAACAGUUGGAAACGACUGCUAAUACCGCAUACGAUCUAAUCUCGGCAUCGAGGAUAGAUGAAAGGUGGCCUCUACAUGUAAGCUAUCACUGAAGGAGGGGAUUGCGUCUGAUUAGCUAGUUGGAGGGGUAACGGCCCACCAAGGCGAUGAUCAGUAGCCGGUCUGAGAGGAUGAACGGCCACAUUGGGACUGAGACACGGCCCAGACUCCUACGGGAGGCAGCAGUGGGGAAUCUUCCGCAAUGGACGAAAGUCUGACGGAGCAACGCCGCGUGAGUGAUGACGGGCUUCGGGUUGUAAAGCUCUGUUAAUCGGGACGAAAGGCCUUCUUGCGAAUAGUGAGAAGGAUAACGUACCGGAAUAGAA
rnacentral:rRNA from 1 species